rnacentral:rRNA from 1 species
UGAAGGGUUUAGCUGAGUUACAAUUAUUAAAUAAAACGGAUUUGUUAAUGAAAUAUUAAAUGGAAGGUGUACUUAUUAGUAAAUUUUUAUAAGAGAGGAAAAUUGAAUAGGGUAAUUGGAGUGCGUACAAAUCGCCCGAUACCCUACGUAUUUAAAAUCGAGGUAAGUCGUAACAUAGUAAUGCUAGUACAAAUUGGUAUUAU